ensembl:snRNA
UUAUGGUAUGAAAGGAAAGCAGGCCAGAAUGCCUUUUGAUUAGGGCAGGAAAAGUCCUAUUGACCUUUACAACGCGUAUACAGUUAAGACUUUGCUGUCUACUCUGUGGCAUCUAACAAUGUCAACAC